rnacentral:rRNA from 1 species
UGCGAUCAUACCAGCACUAAUGCACCGGAUCCCAUCAGAACUCCGCAGUUAAGCGUGCUUGGGCGAGAGUAGUACUAGGAUGGGUGACCGCGUUGGAAGUCCUCGUGUU